ACUGGGGGCAACUCCAGUUCAGUGGCGGACGGGUGCGUAACACGUAAGCAACGUGUCCAGGGGUGGGGGAUAGCCGGCCCAACGGCCGGGUAAUACCGCAUGCAGUCACGGGGGGCAUCCCUUGUGACGAAAGCCGGGGCAACCUGGCGCCCAUGGAGCGGCUUGCGGCCUAUCAGCUAGUUGGCGAGGUAACGGCUCACCAAGGCUACGACGGGUAGCUGGUCUGAGAGGAUGACCAGCCACAUUGGGACUGAGACACGGCCCAGACUCCUACGGGAGGCAGCAGUGGGGAAUAUUGCGCAAUGGGCGAAUGCCUGACGCAGCGACGCCGCGUGUGGGAUGAAGGUCUUCGGA
rnacentral:rRNA from 1 species